CACAUAAGCACUCAGCUGCAUCAAAGUGAAAAGAACAGAAGCUCAUACAUGAAUCUACCUCAUCAGCGCAGGACUCUACACGAACCACUCUACUCUACAGAUGGCAAACUUUACUAUUGGAGUAAUACCUGUUGGAACGGGAGACUGAUUCUGAAGACAAUGACGAUAAAAGGAUGCCUUACACUACAAGCUGGCCGCAUUGGUUCAUUCAGUGUGUUACCUUUGGCAUCGAGGAACUCCGAUCCUGUUUCUGAGACCUUCACUGGUGCUCUGCAGUGUCAAGACGCCAGGAGGGGUGAGAGUAUUUUUAAAGUCCUGGCUUUGAACACUGGACAUGUGGAACUGCAGUGAAAGGACAGCCAUGCCGGUGGUCUGCUCUACAAUGUGCAGGAGACACAAAGGAGGGAAAUUGCAUUAAUAUUUGAAAUAAUGAAGCAGUGUGGUCAUUAGACUGGUCUCCUCUGCUUCCAUAGCAAUACAUUAAGGCUAGACAAGCGCCAUGUAUUUUACAUGGUCCUGUCAACGCAAAAGAUGGAUCCUGCGGCAUAAUGAUGUCCUCUUAAAAGGCUCUGUAGGUAGAAAGAAGAAAAAAAA
ensembl:lncRNA